AAUAAGUAAUGUUUUACACUGUUCACGUCCAACGUUUAACCGUUUGUCUUAUUUGAAAUUUUUUUAUGAUUAGUAUUUUUAUUAUUAUUAGAUGAUAAAACAUGAAUAGUACUUUAUGUAUGACUAUUUUUUUAAUUUUUUCAUAAAUUUUUCAAAUAAGACGAACGGUCAAACGUUGGACACGGAUACCCACGGCUGUACUUAUU
rfam:Oryza glaberrima chromosome 2 Oglab02_0160_4, whole genome shotgun sequence.